rnacentral:rRNA from 1 species
AUGUCUAGGAGCCUGGUGCUGGAAUCUUUGGGGUCAAGAUUUGCUGACAAUUUUAUCAGUUUACCUGCUAUUGGGUCUCGAGGAGGGAUCCUCAUUGCUUGCACCGAUGACUUUGGGGUGUCUGAUAUUCCCUUGGCAGCGGGAGUUCAUUCGGUUUCAGGUACUAUCAGGGACAAAUCUGAUGGCAAUUGCUGGUCAAUCACAGGGGUCUACGGCCCACAGUUAGAGGCCGAUAAGAUGGAGUUCAUGUCUGAAUUGAGAAGGAUCCAGCAGCACAUGUUGUCAAGAUGGAUGGUGUUGGGGGAUUUCAACAUGAUCAGUAGGGCUGUUGACAAGAGAAACAAUAACUGCAAUGUGAGGAUGAUGGGCAGAUUUAGGGCACUCAUUGAGGAUUUGGAAUUAAUUGAUUUUCCCUUGCUGGGGAGAAGAUUUACCUGGUCAAACGAGCGUCAAAACGUCACCCUGACCAGGAUUGACAGGGUUUUAGUCUCCGGCGAGUGGGAGGCUGUUUUCCCACAAUUUCAACUAACUCCCGCGUCGACCAACAUAUCUGAUCAUUGCCCGUUGAUUUUGAAAAAGAUGCAGCCCUCUCAUUAUAAGGCCUUCCGGUUCGAGAAUCAUUGGUUAAAAUCCCAGGAGUUUGAUGGGGUUGUUGCUCAAGCUUGA